CUUCCCCACGCCUUUCUGGAAGCUCGCAUCAGCUGAAGGCUCUCGCCUGGGACUCCUCCGAAGCAUGAGCAAGCCGCCACCACGCGAAGGCACUGGGGCACAGCCAGCGAGAGGCGACAAGGUCCCUUCCCAGGGCUUGUUAACACUGUAACCGGGCGCUCAGAGAGCAGCGGCUCCCACUGCCCAAGCCUGCCUCGCCGCCCAUCCGAUGACUCCUGGCUUCUGCACACAGUUGGAGUUCAGCCGGCAACCUGGAUUUAGAGGGGUCCGCUCGCUGCCAUGACACUCAAUCAAAGCACCUAGAGUGAGCUGGUCAUGACCAGAGUCCGCAUGAAGCAGAGCAAAUACCAAGGAGAGCGCUGGGUGACCACCAGGUAAACUGAAGGUUACUUAUCGCUCCCCAAAGAUCCUUGGCACAUACUCUCUGCUCCGCGCGGAAAGAAAGCACUUGUCUGUUGUGUGUUAAG
rnacentral:lncRNA from 1 species